UUUUAGUUUUUAGUGCCACU
rnacentral:misc_RNA from 1 species